rnacentral:rRNA from 1 species
AACGAACGCUGGCGGCGCGCCUAAUACAUGCAAGUCGAGCGAGAAGACGUAGCAAUACGUUUGUAAAGCGGCGAACGGGUGAGGAAUACAUGGGGUAACCUACCCUCGAGUGGGGAAUAACUAGCCGAAAGGUUAGCUAAUACCGCGUACGCUCCUUGGACUUCGGUUCAGGGAGGAAAGCGAUACCAUGGGUAUCGCGCUCUUGGAUGGGCUCAUGUCCUAUCAGCUUGNGGUGAGGUAACGGCUCACCAAGGCUUCGACGGGUAGCUGGUCUGAGAGGACGAUCAGCCACACUGGCACUGCGACACGGGCCAGACUCCUACGGGAGGCAGCAGUAA